GAUGAACGCUGGCGGCGUGCCUAAUACAUGCAAGUCGAGCGAACGGACGAGAAGCUUGCUUCUCUGUUGUUAGCGGCGGACGGGUGAGUAACACGUGGAUAACCUACCUAUAAGACUGGGAUAACUUCGGGAAACCGGAGCUAAUACCGGAUAAUAUUUUGAACCACAUGGUUCAAGAGUGAAAGACGGUCUUGCUGUAACUUAUAGAUGUAUCCGCGCUGCUUUAGCUAGUUGUUAAGGUAACGGCUUACCAAGGCAACGAUGCAUAGCCGACCUGAGAGGGUGAUCGGCCACACUGGAACGGAGACAGGGUCCAGACUCCUACGGGAGGCAGCAGUAGGGAAUCUUCCGCAAUGGGCGAAAGCCUGACGGAGCAACGCCGCGUGAGUGAUGAAGGUCUUCGGAUCGUAAAACUCUGUUAUUAGGGAAGAACAUAUGUGGAAGUAACUGUGCACAUCUUGACGGUACCUAAUCAGAAAGCCACGGCUAACUACGUG
rnacentral:rRNA from 1 species